rnacentral:rRNA from 1 species
AGAGUUUGAUCAUGGCUCAGAGCGAACGCUGGCGGCAGGCCUAACACAUGCAAGUCGAACGAUCCCUUCGGGAUAGUAGCGGACGGGUGAGUAACACGUGGGAACGUGCCCUUUGGUUCGGAAUAACUCAGGGAAACUUGAGCUAAUACCGGAUGUGCCCUUCGGGGGAAAGAUUUAUCGCCAUUGGAGCGGCCCGCGUUGGAUUAGCUAGUUGGUGGGGUAAAGGCCCACCAAGGCUACGAUCCAUAGCUGGUCUGAGAGGAUGAUCAGCCACACUGGGACUGAGACACGGCCCAGACUCCUACGGGAGGCAGCAGUGGGGAAUCUUGCGCAAUGGGCGAAAGCCUGACGCAGCCAUGCCGCGUGAAUGAUGAAGGUCUUAGGAUUGUAAAAUUCUUUCACCGGGGACGAUAAUGACGGUACCCGGAGAAGAAGCCCCGGCUAACUUCGUGCCAGCAGCCGCGGUAAUACGAAGGGGGCUAGCGUUGCUCGGAAUUACUGGGCGUAAAGGGAGCGUAGGCGGACUGUUUAGUCAGAGGUGAAAGCCCAGGGCUCAACCUUGGAAUUGCCUUUGAUACUGGCAGUCUUGAGUACGGAAGAGGUAUGUGGAACUCCGAGUGUAGAGGUGAAAUUCGUAGAUAUUCGGAAGAACACCAGUGGCGAAGGCGACAUACUGGUCCGUUACUGACGCUGAGGCUCGAAAGCGUGGGGAGCAAACAGGAUUAGAUACCCUGGUAGUCC